GGCGCGAGGCGGUCCGAGCACUCCAGAGCCUUCCAAGCUCAUGGCCCGGGUUCAAAUCCCGGUCGCCGCA
rnacentral:tRNA from 1 species